UUUCUCUUUUAUAAAACACUCAGAUCCUUUCGAACAGGUAGUACAAAUAGCCUUGAAAAAUGAAAAUGUUACACGGAAGUCCCUGGGAUCAAUCGUCUUCAUCCUUUCGAACAGGUCGAUGGCGCGUUGCCGCAUGCCACUCCUCGUCAGAACUGGCUUGUCCUUGUUGACUGCGAAUGGAUAGCCAUCGAGGCUACGAUCAUGUUGGACCAACACCUUGGAGAAGAAAUUGUCACUGCUAGAAUAGCUGCAGAUCCAAGAGUCAAACCUCCAUUAUUUCUCACAGAUUUCACCAAAUCAAGCCAAAUAAAUAAAGGUUCUUCUCUUUGCAUUUUAGUCCUCGCUUCCACGAUUUCCCUUCCUACUAAUCCUGUGCUAGAUACUUUGGAUAUUGCUUGGGGUACUCGGAUGUAACCCUCUUGAUUAGCAUUAUCUUCUUUAUUCGGGUUGGAUGAGAUGGUUACACCUAUCACACAAUCAUACAACUAAUUUACAUUAGAAAAAAAACGCCGAAAAGAAAAAAGAUUAAAAACCAAUGUGCCGAGUUGCUUUCUCUUGGUAGGGUCGUUUAUCUUGGUAAUUAAACGGAGUACGACUACACGGCAGCAGGCUUAAGCAGCAAGCAUGUCCAAAGAUAAUGUUUCUGCCAACAUGCCACGCGUACUUAUUAAUGCUAAAAAUCACAAGGCGCCAGUCGAUCGAUCGUGACAUCGGCAUGCCGUUUCAGUUUGUGUCCUUUAUGGAUUGGAAUUGGAAUAUGUGGUUGCGUGUGGCCUGUGAGCACGUAGUACCAAUUUUUCGCUAUCUCGGCAUAUUUAUGGGCUAAUUUGAUGAGGAAGGACAGUGCCAAUAUUCUCUCAAUAAUUCAAGGCUCCACGGUUAUGCCAAGAGUACAUCCCCGCUUUUUCCCAGUGAUGAUGAAGCAUCAUGACUUAUAAUAAGUGUACUUUUGGCGCUUCAGCAAGAUGAGGACAUUUAGAAAUGUUCAAGCUAGUUGAUUAGCAUGGUUGAAGCUGUGGAUUUGUAAAGGUAAACCUUCAGCUCAGACUAAAGUUGACUACAUGAGAUGCCAGUCGGUAAAAACCGAGCGCUUAAUUUGUCUAGAAGGAAUGUACCAUAUGAUGCCCACAAGGAAGAUUGGCACCCUAAACCCUGGCUGAAGAUCUAGUAGUACAAGAAAGUUGUGGGAGGUGAGCUCAAAAUGUUCAAACUCUUUUACCAAUUUAUUAGCACUGGAUGACACUUGUCCAGAUGCUGCCUGGCCCAAGGCGACUGAUGUAAAAUUCUUAAAAAAAAAUCGUUAUUACGUAAUACUGUGCUCACUGUAGUACUCUAGUAUAGUACUACAUUAGUUGACCUAACCUAGCUAAUCAAAAUAUGGCUGGACAAAAGUGUGCCCACCACCUAACCACACAGAAAGCAAAACCUUUCUUUGUUAAUCUUAAUCAAUCACGGCAGCGUUGGAAAAAUCCUGGAUAGCUACCCCGCUAGUGGAACAAGCAUCUCCUAGCUAAUCCUAAAUUCCUAACACACUUGGAACUUUUGGGCACAGAUAACCACAAACCUCUGAUACGUUCUGACUUGGUCACUUGGACCGGCUUGCCACUGGCCACACUUCAAUUGGCAGCAUGGGAAAUGGAGACAGGUGGUAGUAUGAGAUCAUCCUGUUCAUUAUUUAAUUCUAACAAAACAGAAACAGAAAAAAAAAACAGGGUUCAUCAGAAAUGUUAGGUGUAUAUACUCCCACGGUUCAGUGGAACCACCAGGGUCGUGGUUCAUGAUGUAUAAGAUUGUGCAUAUCACAUAUGAAAGUCAUAUACACUUCAAUACUUGUAGUUGCAAAAAUUCCAGUUCCUACACAUUGUAGGGGCGGCAAAUAUUUUGCCCACAUUUACCACAACCGUGGCAGCUAAUUGGAGAAAGUUUCUGUGAAAGAAACAAACCAUCAGUAAGGGCCUACCACAAGAAUUCUGGAUCAAGUAGACCAAAACAUCCAAUCAGGACAUACAUGCCCCUUCCCACCAACUCUCAAAGCAAAACAUGACGGUGCUGCUAGCAAAGCAGAAACACGCAACCGCGGUUUUUUUAGAUUCCAAAGGGAGGAAAACAAACGAAUAUACCACUUACAACUGACCACAGGAAGAUAUGUAACUUGACCAAAAUUCACAGGUGAUUCUCCAGACUUCUGUUAGACCUAUAUAAGGGCAGUCAGUAUAUGAGCAACCAGCCCAAAUUUCCGAGAUGCUACUCUAGACUUGUACAUUCCACAGAAUGAUUUAAACAACGACAUGACCCAUCAAAGGUGUUAAGACAAUCUUGCUCUACCAGCAGCUGUUCUAGGCCUUUUCUUUUCCUGUAGAGGUUAGUAUAUGUAAUGUCGAUGCAUGGAUUGUUGUGCUUUGGUUGGGAUCCUUCCCUCGGGCUGAUCCAGGCCUCCUGAUGCUGUGCGAACGCUCCAUGUUACUCUUCAGAAACUUCUGCACAGGCUUAGGUAGGCGCGCAAUCACUCGGGUUGAGGUAACAAGAAGUAUCACCCCCGUAAUAAUGAAGAACCUGAAAGGAGAACCAACUCUUUACUGUCCCUCACAGCCAAUUCUCAAAAGUGGAGCAGAGGUCAGAGAGCACGAAGAGACAACACAUUUGUUCAAUCCAGUUUGUCAAUAAAGACGAUAUGACUCCUUACACGGUACAGAUUGUUGUUAUUGUCCUAAUCUAUUGCAUAUCUAUUACCCAGUAUACAAUAGAUAUUUCAGCAAAGCUGAAUUUGCAUAAUGGUAACCUCACUGGACUGAGAAGGAACUUGAUAUAUUCUCUCAUGAUCAAAGUUGGCAACAAAGCAUACAGAACAAAUGGUACAUGAAUUCCAUAUAUAGUCCCAAGAGAUGCACCCUCCCCACUUGCAAUUUAGUGAGGUAAAUAGCAGCAUAUCAGGUGGGAAUCUGAAAAAAAAGGGCCUAUAGCAGCAUGAUUGCAAGAGAUGGCUCAGAUUGGCAGGGGAUUCCCUGAGCAACUAUGCUUUACGGAGUGUCCCAGGUUGGGAUCUUUUGUUUGGGUAAAAUUAGGGUCGGGGGGGGGGGNNNNNNNNNNNNNNNNNNNNNNNNNNNNNNNNNNNNNNNNNNNNNNNNNNNNNNNNNNNNNNNNNNNNNNNNNNNNNNNNNNNNNNNNNNNNNNNNNNNNNNNNNNNNNNNNNNNNNNNNNNNNNNNNNNNNNNUCUUCCCGCUACAUCAAUGCCACCUCACUCACUUUAGACCUGCAUGGAUAAUCCAUCGCUGCCUCCCUCUCUGCACAUUCCACGAGAUGGUGCCUGUGGCUGUACACGGCUAACCUUUCGUCUCCAUCACACCAGAUCUACCCACAUCCGGCUUUCCCGCAGCAUAGAUGAGGCAGUGACAAACCCCUGAGCUGUGCUGCAAGUGUACAAUGCUACGGUGGAGCCCCUUGGGACUUGGAUUCAUAGCCAUCCCCAGAUUUGGGCAUGGGUGCUCCUACCGCUGCUAGAUCUAUCAAGGAGAUGCUGCCAAUAGAACAAGAGGUUCUCUGCCGCCUCCGGUAUUGCCUAUCAUCACUACGUCCACGUCUCCACGAUAUAUGUGAAGUGUUCCACCGCCUGUCACUCCCCACCACGCAGCCCUCCCUUGCGAUCACAAUCGCAAAAGUUCAUAGUUUAGACAGGAUAUUAUGACUAUCUCAUACAUUACCAAUGCAAUAGCCCUAAAGGUGCAGGCAUUGAAAGCAAUAAACAAUGUACAUUAUACUCCCUCUGUUCCUAAAUAUUUGUUGUUGAAGAGAACUGAUCUAGUUCUCUCCAACAACAAAUAUUAUGGUACAGAGGUAGUAGUAGCUAGCUACUGAAGCAGGGAGAAGGGAAUCAGAUCAGUCUUCAAGAAUAGCACACAACACAGAAAGAAAAACACGAUGUGGUAUAAUGAAAUUACCAUCCAAGCAAGAGAAAAAAACGUCCUGAAGGAGCUGUCG
rnacentral:lncRNA from 1 species